AGAUGGAGGAGGGUGAGAGGCGAGUGAAGACGAGAACGGAAGAGCGAGAAUGCCGACUACUCGUUCGGCUUCACGUCCUCGUAUGGAUUUACCAGGCUUUGGCAACUGCAUGGAAAUGUACUUCAAGUUCAGAUGGAGAUCUGAGCCCCUGCAGUAGCUUCAGAUUGUUUCAGAAGAACUGCAAAGCUAAGCUUUGAUGGAUACUGUAAAGAAGUACGAAGAUGUCCAAGCAUGGAAAACACAAUUCUAAAGGGAAUGCAUAGGAGACACACCACUUCAGAUCCUCUUAUUCUUCUUCUUUUUUUGCAUUGUUCUUUUCUUUAGCCAUUCAUGAAAAGGUUGCUGCUAACAUCCAAUGUCUCCUCAGAUAGGUGCCUUGCUGACACAGAAUAAUCAUCACUUGGGCCUUGGAUGUCACACCGGUGGUUCUUAGAGCAGAUAGCUCAUGUGUUCUGAACAAGGAACAAUUCCAUACCUCCCACGUAUGUUAUGGAUCAUAUAAAGAUUGGAUGCAUGCAAGGAUCAAGUCUCAUCCAAGUUGUGCUCAGAAAUUACCAAGUUAGAGCUCUGCUUUUGGAGUGGACUAAAACCAUAAUAACAGGUCUGGUGUGUAUCUUCACUUGUGAUCUUUGGGAAAAUGGAAGACA